GCCGGCGUAGCUCAACUGGCCAGAGUGCCUGACUGUGGAUCAGGAGGUUUCGGGUUCAAGUCCCGACGCCGGUACAA
rnacentral:tRNA from 1 species